AAAAUCGCGAAGACGCGGACGCGUAAACGGAUCGACUUCGAGCUGUGUGGCGUCGCGGCGCGCUUGCUUGAUACAGCAAUUUUCCGAAUUGAGGCUAGGAGCAACAGGUGCAACGUCGCGUCGCUCCCACGCGAAGUUGGCCGCCCGCGAUUUCCGAACGCUCUCGUCUGUCCGCUGUUCCGGAUUCACGACGACGACGACGACGAUGACGGUUGGACGGCUGGACCGUCGCGAAUCGCACGAGACAUCGCGGAGUGCGGAGAUGCGGACAGCAGCGGUAAUUUCGCACGAUGAUUCCUCCCCCCGCGCUGCUCUUUCGUCGGGGAAAGAUGCGUGCGUGAACUAAAGCUGCAAGUGUCAUGCAAGCGCCGCGUUGAUGACCCCGUAGACCCCUAAUCUGAAGCCACCUUUACACGGCGUGGUGCCGGAAGCGCGCUCUUCCAACGAGGACGAUGCCGUUCUCGAGGAUGA